rnacentral:rRNA from 1 species
UACGGGGGGAGCAAGCGUUGUUCGGAUUUACUGGGCGUAAAGGGCGCGUAGGCGGCGCGACAAGUCACUUGUGAAAUCUCCGGGCUUAACUCGGAAAGGUCAACUGAUACUGUGCGGCUAGAGUGCGGAAGGGGCAACUGGAAUUCUUGGUGUAGCGGUGAAAUGCGUAGAUAUCAAGAGGAACACCUGCGGCGAAGGCGGGUUGCUGGGCCGACACUGACGCUGAGGCGCGAAAGCUAGGGGAGCGAACGGG